CCUACGGGGGGCUGCAGUAGGGAAUAUUGGACAAUGGGUGCAAGCCUGAUCCAGCCAUGCCGCGUGCAGGAAGAAGGCUUUCUGAGUUGUAAACUGCUUUUGCCAGGGGAUAAAAAGCCCGUGCGCGGGAAAUUGAAGGUACCUGGUGAAUAAGCCACGGCUAACUACGUGCCAGCAGCCGCGGUAAUACGUAGGUGGCAAGCGUUGUCCGGAUUUAUUGGGUUUAAAGGGUGCGUAGGCGGUCUUCUAAGUCAGUUGUGAAAUACUUCAGCUUA
rnacentral:rRNA from 1 species